rnacentral:rRNA from 1 species
GGGGAAUUUUUCGCAAUGGGGGCAACCCUGACGAAGCAAUGCCGCGUGGAUGAAGAAGGCCUUCGGGUUGUAAAGUCCUUUCGUGGAGGACGAAAAGGUGGGUGCUAAUAUCAUCUGCUGUUGACGUGAAUCCAAGAAGAAGCACCGGCUAACUCCGUGCCAGCAGCCGCGGUAAUACGGGGGGUGCAAGCGUUAAUCGGAAUCACUGGGCGUAAAGGGUGCGUAGGCGGUACAUUAGGUCUGUCGUGAAAUCCCCGGGCUCAACCUGGGAAUGGCGGUGGAAACCGGUGCACUAGAGUAUGGGAGAGGGUGGUGGAAUUCCAGGUGUAGCGGUGAAAUGCGUAGAGAUCUGGAGGAACAUCAGUGGCGAAGGCGGCCACCUGGCCCAAUACUGACGCUGAGGCACGAAAGCGUGGGGAGCAAAC